rnacentral:SRP_RNA from 2 species
GCCAGGCAUGGUGGUGCAUGCCUGUAAUCCCAGCUACUUGGGAGGCUGAGGCAGGAGAAUUGCUUGAACCCAGGAGGUGGAGUUUGCAGUGAGCUGAGAUUGCACCACUGCACUCCAGCUUGGGCAACAGAGCAAGAUUCCGUCUCAA